rnacentral:tRNA from 4 species
GGAGGGAUGGCUGAGUGGUUUAAGGCGUAGCAUUGGAACUGCUAUGUGAACUUUUGUUUACCGAGGGUUCGAAUCCCUCUCUCUCCU